rnacentral:rRNA from 1 species
GGGGGGGCAAGCGUUGUUCGGAAUUACUGGGCGUAAAGGGUUUGUAGGUGGCUUGCUAAGUCAGACGUGAAAUCCCUCAGCUUAACUGGGGAACUGCGUCUGAUACUGGCGAGCUUGAGUGCAGGAGAGGAACGCGGAAUUCCAGGUGUAGCGGUGAAAUGCGUAGAUAUCUGGAGGAACACCGGUGGCGAAGGCGGCGUUCUGGACUGCAACUGACACUGAAAAACGAAAGCCAGGGGAGCAAACGGG